CGUCAUUCUGCUUCUGUCUGCAAGGCCACCUUGAAGCAGGGACUAACAGGAGAAAACCCCGGGCCCCAUUGGGUCCCUGACUUUCCUAGCAUCGGCUCUGCUUUUCAAUGUACUGCAGACGUAGAUCCUGUACCGCAUUGAAGCCACAGCAUGGGACAUGGCUCUAUUUCACGGAGUGAGGAAUACC
rnacentral:lncRNA from 1 species